rnacentral:rRNA from 1 species
UACGAACUGUGCGAACGUUAUUCGGAAUCACUGGGCUUACAGGGUGCGUAGGCGGCCCGACAAGUCAGGUGUGAAAGCCCUCGGCUCAACCGAGGAACUGCGCUUGAAACUGUUGGGCUCGAGUCAGCUAGAGGUGCACGGAACUUCCAGUGGAGCGGUGAAAUGUGUUGAUAUUGGAAGGAACACCGGAGGCGAAAGCGGUGCGCUGGGGCUGGUCUGACGCUGAGGCACGAAAGCCAGGGGAGCGAACGGG